UUAAAGUAGUAAGGGCGCAGGGUGGAUGCCUUGGCACUAAGAGCCGAUGAAAGACGUGAUAAGCUGCGAAAAGCUUCGGGGAGGAGCACAUAUCCAAUGAUCCGGAGAUAUCUGAAUGGGGAAACCCGGCAGAGGAAACCUCUGUCAGCAUGUAGUGAAUCCAUAGCUACAUGUGGGGAACCCGGGGAACUGAAACAUCUAAGUACCCGGAGGAAGAGAAAGAAAAUUUAUCGAUUUCCAAAGUAGCGGCGAGCGAAAUGGAAAGAGCCCAAACCGUGAUGCGUGCAUUGCGGGGUUCGGACUGCGUUGUGGCAGACGUAAGAUAGGAGAACGGACUGGGAAGUCCGGCCGGAGAGAGUGAAAGCCUCGUAUCCGAAAUCCCAAGUCGCCUAGCAGGAUCCAGAGUAGGACGAGACACGAGAAACCUUGUCUGAACGAGCGGGGACCACCCCGUAAGGCUAAAUACUUCUUAGUGACCGAUAGCGCAUAGUACUGUGAAGGAAAGGUGAAAAGUACCCCGGGAGGGGAGUGAAAGAGAACCUGAAACCCUGUGUCUACAAGCUGUGGGACCUCUUUAUAUGAGGGACUGCGUACUUUUUGUAGAACGGUCCGGCGAGUUGUGCGUACUGGCGAGGUUAAGGACUUAAGGUCUGGAGCCGAAGUGAAAGCAAGCGUUAAUAGCGCGUCAAGUCAGUGAGUGCAGACCCGAAACCGGGUGACCUAUCCAUGUCCAGGUUGAAGCUUCCGUAAGAGGAAGUGGAGGACCGAACCCACAUCCGUUGAAAAGGGUGGGGAUGAGGUGUGGAUAGCGGAGAAAUUCCAAUCGAACCCGGAGAUAGCUGGUUCUCCUCGAAAUAGCUUUAGGGCUAGCCUCAUGAGAGUCUUAUGGAGGUAGAGCACUGAAUUGCCUAGGGGGCGUCAAAGCUUACCAAAGCAUAUCAAACUCCGAAUGCCAUCAAGAUGAUUCAUGGGAGUCAGACCAUACGAGAUAAGUUGGAUGGUCAAAAGGGAAAGAGCCCAGACCUACAGCUAAGGUCCCAAAGUGCGUGUUAAGUGGAAAAGGAUGUGGGGAUUCUAAGACAACUAGGACGUUGGCUUAGAAGCAGCCAUUCAUUGAAAGAGUGCGUAAUAGCUCACUAGUCGAGAGUCCCUGCGCCGAAAAUGUCCGGGGCUGAAACACGACACCGAAGCUUAGGAAUGUGUAAACAUUGGUAGAGGAGCAUUGCUAGCGGGAUGAAGCCAUACCGUAAGGAGUGGUGGACUGCUAGGAAGAGAGAAUGCCGGAAUGAGUAGCGAGAUGAAGGUGAGAAUCCUUCAGGCCGAAUAUCUAAGGUUUCCAGAGUAAAGCUGAUCUGCUCUGGGUAAGUCGGGACCUAAGGCGAGGUCGAAAGACGUAGUCGAUGGAUAACAGGUUGAAAUUCCUGUACCGCAUAUAAACAGAACUGUGGGGACACAGACAGGGAAUGGAAUCCGGGAAUGGAUAUCCCGGUGCAAGCGAGGUAGGAGUGCUGUUGGCAAAUCCGCAGCACGAUCUGAAGACGUGACGCGUACCGAACAUAAGUAGGGAAGUCCAGGCCCCUGGCUGUCAAGAAAAGCCGCUAUUGUUUUAUAUGUGCCCGUACCGCAAACCGACACAGGUGGAUGAGGAGAGAAUCCUAAGGCCGACGGGAGAAGUAUUGUUAAGGAACUCGGCAAAAUGACUCCGUAACUUCGGGAGAAGGAGUGCCAUGAGAGUGGCCGCAGAGAAAUGGCCCAAGCAACUGUUUAGCAAAAACACAGGUCUAUGCAAAACCGCAAGGUGAAGUAUAUGGGCUGACGCCUGCCCGGUGCUGGAAGGUUAAGGGGAGAGGUUAGCGCAAGCGAAGCUUUGAACUUAAGCCCCAGUAAACGGCGGCCGUAACUAUAACGGUCCUAAGGUAGCGAAAUUCCUUGUCGGGUAAGUUCCGACCCGCAC
rnacentral:rRNA from 1 species